UUUAGAACUCGAGAUAUGAGCUGAACACUGAACAAUGUCUGGGCUACAUGACAAAUUCAGAUUUCUCUCUUGUUGCUAAGAUUUGAUCUUCAAAACGACAGAACUGAGUCUUGGACUCCUCAUGAAUGUUUUAGGCUUAUGUCUUAGCUUUCUAGC
rfam:Populus trichocarpa scaffold_15_contig_69, whole genome shotgun sequence.